ACCCCCUGUAAACAGCUCCCCAUUCCAUCCUCCUUCCCCAAUCCCUCCUCCUUCCCCAAUCCACCCUCCUUCCCCAAUCCACCCUCCUUCCCCCAUCCAGCCUCCUUCCCCCAUCCAGUGAAUGGGCAGCAGAAGACCCUGAGGCUGUUGAGGGUGCUGCGCAUGUGGCUGAUGAGAAUGGUGCAGUUGGAGAUCCCACAAGCCUGCCUGGCAUCCUUGCAAGUCUAAAGGCUAAUUUGCAGGCCAUGCUGGCAGAUGUUGAUAGGAUGCAAAAAAAAAUUUAAUUUGUUAAUUUUAAAAUUGGUAAAUAUUUGUUAUUGGUUCUAAAAAAAACACACAAAAAAAUAUGUACAAAAAUAAAAAAUAGUUUAUUACAGUUAA